GUCACCUUUGAAACUCGUGUUGUUUUUAGUUGGAAGGCACAACUUGAUCACCUUGUUUGUCUUCCAAAAUUGAUCUGGCUUUGUUCUAGAAUAAUUAGCGGUGCUCAAUUCUGAUCUCUGCUGAGAUUCAUGAGUUUCUUUCUCAUCUUCAGGUGCUUGUAAAUGGAAAAAUUCACGAUAAAAAUAAUAUACGUCUUCGCCAUGUACGAUGACCGAUAUCACUAAGGAAGGAGUUCCCUGUAAGAUACCGACAAAUCCUUUCCAUGUUAUGCUUUUUCCUACUAGCUGUUUCAUGUCUAUUCUCUUUCCCGGGAGAAAUUAUUAGAUACUCCAGAGAUGCAAUGCAAAGGCAAUUCAGUACCUGGAGGAAUUUGUGUAAAUGCUUCUGUUCAUUAUGUUAAUAUAUACUUUCUUGUUUCUUUA